rnacentral:lncRNA from 1 species
UCAAAUUAAAACUUAAACCCUUUAAAAAAGCCAUAUUAAACCUUAAAAAGUAAAAAAAAAUGCCGAAUUAAGCUUCAAGUUGAAUAAAUAAUCAAACGAACUGCAUUUAAGGUUAACUAUACUUAAUUAAUCACCCAGUUUUAUCUCCAUUUUCAAACUUGACAAGUGCUUUGCCAUGUCUAAAACACAGAAAACCAAGAAAAAUAAGAUGUAGAAAAAGAAAAUAAUUUGAGUAGAUCAUUUGAAAUUAGAGUGUGUGGGUGCAAAUACUAAACCACUUUAUCACAAAAUGGCCCACGUAUCUUAAAAUAUGAAGACUCCUGCUAUAGACAAUUGCCAAUUUUCUUCAUCACUGUGACAGUUAAAAAAGAGGAUUUUGAUUGAUACUUUCCCACGCUCACAAUGAAUUUUGGUUUGUAAUGGAAAUGGAAUGGUCCUAUUGUGUUCCAAAAUGUGAGUGAUGAGUUAAUGAUGAAUUGAUGUCAUAAAUUGGCAUCUGAAUUAAGAUAACAAAUAAGUAAUGGUAAUACUCUCAAGUCUUAUCCCUACGACCCCAUGUUUCCUUAGAUGCUAUAUAUGCAAACAAAACGAACAGUCCCAUUGAAACAGUCACAUAUUUUCCAAAGUUUUCAAAACCCUUUUUAGUGUGGUUAAUUAAAGAGAGAUACUUUAAGUAGGUAAGGCCAAAGCAUCAUAUGGGGACUCCUCACUAUGCCAUUUACAUGCUGUCUCUUGGACGCAUUGUUUUCACUUUUUUUUCUUU